UACGGAGGGUGCUAGCGUUGUUCGGAAUUACUGGGCGUAAAGGGCGCGUAGGCGGCCUGGUCAGUCGGAUGUGAAAGCCCGGGGCUCAACCCCGGAACGGCAUCCGAGACGGCCAGGCUGGAGACCGGGAGAGGAGAGUGGAAUAGCCAGUGUAGAGGUGAAAUUCGUAGAUAUUGGCUGGAACACCGGUGGCGAAAGCGGCUCUCUGGCCCGGUUCUGACGCUGAGGCGCGAAAGCGUGGGGAGCAAACAGG
rnacentral:rRNA from 1 species